UACGAAGGGGGCUAGCGUUGCUCGGAAUGACUGGGCGUAAAGGGCGCGUAGGCGGAUUGUACAGUCAGGCGUGAAAUUCCCGGGCUCAACCUGGGGGCUGCGCUUGAGACGUGCGAUCUUGAGUGGGGAAGAGGGUCGUGGAAUUCCCAGUGUAGAGGUGAAAUUCGUAGAUAUUGGGAAGAACACCGGUGGCGAAGGCGGCGACCUGGUCCUUGACUGACGCUGAGGCGCGAAAGCAUGGGGAGCAAACAGG
rnacentral:rRNA from 1 species